UACGUAGGGUGCGAGCGUUAAUCGGAAUUACUGGGCGUAAAGUGUGCGCAGGCGGCCGAGCAAGUCGAGUGUGAAAGCCCCGAGCUUAACUUGGGAACUGCGCUCGAAACUACUUGGCUAGAGUGUGGCAGAGGGAGGUGGAAUUCCACGUGUAGCGGUGAAAUGCGUAGAGAUCGGGAGGAACACCAGUGGCGAAGGCGGCUACCUGGACCAGCACUGACACUGAGGCACGAAAGCGUGGGGAGCAAACAGG
rnacentral:rRNA from 1 species